GUAGAAAAGGCUAAAACUACGAAAUCAGGUGUUUAUCUCACCUUUGUAAGCUCAAAUUAAAAGAUCAUCCCAUUCUCCAUCGACCUUUUCUUCCAUCCUUGUACAUAAACAUAGCCCCAUUUCCCUCCUGCUACAUUUGAGGCCGAAGACCCGAAGUCUCUUGAACACAAAGUAGCCCAACUUUUAACACUUCGCUAGCCUCUUCUUCAGGGUAAUCUCCAUCAAGUGACGGGUCCAUCAGCUGUUGAAGGUUUUUAGCUUUGUACACUUUCCAUACCUAAAUCAAACAACUCUGUAUUACUAUCUACAGAUGUCUUUUAUUUCGGUUUUUAUUGGAUUGAAUGCAAGAUAAUAAUAAUAAUAAUAAUACAUUACCUUUUU